rnacentral:rRNA from 1 species
GCCAGCAGCUAGCUCUUUGCAACUCUCAUAUGGUCAAGCUAAGCUAAGCAGGGCUGUGCCCGUUCAGUACCUGGAUAGGAGACCACAUUGGAAAGCUAGGUUGCUGCUGGAA